rnacentral:rRNA from 1 species
AUGAAGAAUCUGAAGGAUGCUAAGACUAAGAUAUUUCUCUCAAAGACGAGGGGAGGUAAGGAACUGCUAUCUAGUUCUGCUUUCGAUUCACCUUCUGUUAGAGGUAAACUUGCAACACCACCACAUGCUAUCAAUUCUAAUAUGUCGGAAGUUAUUGAUGAUGCUACUUCUGCUAUGGAUAAUGCUUAUGAUGAUGCUAGUACCUUGCUUGAUGAUAAUGAUGUGCCACUUGGUGAUUUUCUUGAUGAACAAAUUGCUAGAGUAAUACAACAUGAUGUUGUUGAAUCUGAUGAUGAGCUUGAAACCAAAACUCUUGAAACACCUGCUAGUACUAGCCUUCCUAGAUAUGAAUUACCUAAGAUACCGGAAGGUUAUGUUAUGAAUGAAGAGACAACUAGAGACAUUCUUGCUUGUAGGGAUGGAGAUGAUCUAGAGAAAUUAUUAUGCAAGUAUAAAGAAAAAUCUCUGAAUGCUAGAAUGAAAUGUGAUCCUAAGUUUGCUACUUCACCUAUCUUUAUUGUUGAUAAGGAUUAUGAAUUCUCUGUCGACCCAGAGUUAAUUACUUUAGUUGAAUCUGAUCCUUUCCAUGAUUAUGAAACAGAAACUGUCGUGGCACAUCUUACUAAGUUGAAUGAUAUAGCCACCCUUUUUACUCAUGAUGAGAAAACUCGUUAUUACUUUAUUCUAAAAUUAUUUCCGUUCUCAUAA